rnacentral:tRNA from 1 species
GUGGCAUUAGUUCAGUGGUAGAACGCCUGACUGUGGAUCAGGAUGUCGUGGGUUCAAAUCCCACAUGCCACC